rnacentral:rRNA from 1 species
UACGUAGGGUGCAAGCGUUGUCCGGAAUUAUUGGGCGUAAAGAGCUCGUAGGCGGUCUGCCGCGUCUGCUGUGAAAACUCAGGGCUUAACCCUGAGCUUGCAGUGGGUACGGGCAGACUAGAGUGCGGUAGGGGAGACUGGAAUUCCUGGUGUAGCGGUGAAAUGCGCAGAUAUCAGGAGGAACACCGGUGGGCGAAGGCGGGUCUCUGGGCCGUAAACUGACG